rnacentral:misc_RNA from 1 species
UACGGAGGGCGCAAGCGUUGCUCGGAAUCACUGGGCGUAAAGCGUACGCAGGCGGGAAGAAUAGUCGGGUGUGAAAGCCCGGGGCUCAACCCCGGAAUUGCACUCGAAACUGUCUUCCUUGAGUACGGGAGAGGGAAGCGGAAUUCCUGGUGUAGAGGUGAAAUUCGUAGAUAUCAGGAGGAACACCGGUGGCGAAGGCGGCUUCCUGGCCCGAUACUGACGCUCAUGUACGAAAGCGUGGGGAGCAAACAGG